rnacentral:rRNA from 1 species
AUGAACGCUAGCGACAGGCUAACACAUGCAAGUCGAGGGGUAACAGGGUAGCAAUACCGCUGACGACCGGCGCACGGGUGAGUAACGCGUAUGCAACCUGCCUAGUAACUGGGGAAUAGCUCCCUGAAAGGGGGAAUUAACACCGCAUAAUACUAUUGAUUCGCAUGGAUUAGUAGUUAAAUGUAGCGAUACAGGUUAUAGAUGGGCAUGCGUGACAUUAGCUAGUUGGUGAGGUAACGGCUCACCAAGGCUACGAUGUCUAGGGGUUCUGAGAGGAAGGUCCCCCCACACUGGUACUGAGACACGGACCAGACUCCUACGGGAGGCAGCAGUGAGGAAUAUUGGUCAAUGGGCGCAAGCCUGAACCAGCCAUGUCGCGUGCAGGAAGAACCUGCCCUAUGGGUUGUAAACUGCUUUUAUAGUAGAAGAAACACAUCUACGUGUAGAUGUCUGCCAGUAUACUAUGAAUAAGCAUCGGCUAACUCCGUGCCAGCCGCCGC